CAGGAACCAGGAAGUCAAUGAAGAAUAUGGCUCAGAACUGCUGUUUGUAUUGGUAGCUUUUCAAUCCAGUUGAGUCUGCAUGCAUCCUAUACCUUUUUGAUAGCAUCGUUGUUUUACUCUUUCUCAUGUCAAUAAACCUGUGGACAACGGACCAUUGUCUUCAGAGUCGUGAUGUCAGAAAAGAGUUCGUCUAACUGCCAAGGUGUAUCGGAGCGCAUAUACCGAGGGCGGCAUAGUAAAACAACGCUUUCUACCGGGCAAGAUAACGCAGCCAACUGACAGAUGCUACGAACAACGUCAUCACACGCAACCAGUGGAUGACCAUCACAGCGGUGUCUAAACAGAGCGCUUCACCCUGGACCUGCACCUUGGGUUGAAGACACAAACUCGGUUCCAGAGCAUGGCGGGGAGGAGGAUAGCUUUCCACAACCCCGUGUCGCCACCAAAUGUACAGAUGUCUGUGGCGGAGACAUGACGGGCCGAUCCUGUUCUAAAGUAUCCCUCGUGAAAGUGUAUCCAACCGGCCACGCUGACAAAGCAGUGAAAAUGUACGUGAUCCUGGACGAACAGAGCAACAGAUCACUAGUUCGUUCACAGUUCUUCGAAAUCUUCAAUGACCAAAGUCCAAGUGCUCCUUACUCAUUGAAAACAUGUGCUGGAGUAAAGAAAGCGACAGGAAGAAGGGCCAGUGGCUACAUUGUGGAAUCUUUGGAUAAGACCGUCAGCAUUCCACUACCCAGCCUCAUAGAAUGUGAUGACAUUCCAAAUAACAGAGAUGAGAUUCCAACUCCAAAUGCAGCCUUUCAUCACACACACUUAAAGUCAGUUGCACACCUCAUCCCAGAGAUCGACCCACAGGCCCAAAUUAUGCUUCUCUUAGGUCGGGAUAUUCUCAGGGUUCAUAAGGUCCGCAAACAGGUCAAUGGCUCACACAACCUGCCCUAUGCUCAAAAGUUAGAUCUGGGAUGGGUCAUCGUGGGCAAUGUGUGUUUAGGUCGCGUUCAUAAGCCACCAACAGUCAGCGCCUUCUACACUAACACCACAGAACGGGGACGCCCCACUCUCUUUGACCCAUGUCCUAACGUGUUCCGGGUAAAGGAAAGUUACAGUGACACCCAGGCCACAAACCACCUCCAACCACAUUUUGUGGAGAUACCAAACUGUGAUGUUGACAGCCUAGGACAUAACAUAUUCAAGCAGGCCAAAGACGACAACAACAUUGCUCCAUCUAUCCAGGACAUCUCCUUUAUGGAAAUAAUGAAAGAUGGACUAACAAAAGAUGCAAACAACAGUUGGGUAGCUCCAUUACCCUUUAAAUGCCCACGUCAAAGGCUCCCCAACAACAGGCCACAGGCAGUGAACCGUCUCAAGUUGCUAAGGCGCCAGUUUGAAAAGAGGCCUGAAAUGAGAGACCACUUUCUCAUUUUCAUGGACAAGAUGUUCAAGAAUGGUCACGCUGAGCUGGCCCCUCCUCCCAGUGUGGGUGGAGAACAGUGGUACCUGCCAAUAUUUGGGGUGUACCAUCCAAGAAAACCAAACCAAAUCCGAGUAGUCUUCGAUUCCAGCGCCCAGUACAACGGUGUGUCACUCAACGACGUGCUGUUGACUGGGCCUGAUCUGAACAACACACUGCUCGGUGUACUGUUGCGCUUUAGAAAGGAAGCAAUCGCUUUUACAACGGACAUAGAGCAGAUGUUCUAUUGUUUUUCAGUGAGGGAAGACGAUAGGAACUUCCUACGUUUUCUAUGGUUCCAAGAUAACGACCCCUCCAAAGACAUUGUGGAGUAUCGAAUGACGGUCCACGUCUUUGGAAAUAGUCCUUCACCGGCAGUAGCGAUUCAUGGAUUGCACCAGUCUGUUCAGGUCAGUGAACUCCACAUUGACGCUGACGUCCAACGUUUUGUGAUGCGCGACUUCUAUGUAGACGAUGGGUUAAAGUCCCUACCCACAGUCGAAGCUGCAGUCAGCUUGCUGAAAAAAACACAGGAUAUUCUCUCCAAAUCCAACCUAAGACUACACAAGAUCGCAGCAAACAACAAGGAGGUCAUGGAGGCCUUUCCGGCUGAAGAUCGUGCAAAAGACCUUAAAGACCUUGACCUCAGUGCAGAUGCGCUGCCGAUGCAGCGUAGUCUAGGUAUCAAUUGGGACCUCGAGACCGACUGCUUCCAAUUCAGCGUCUCCGAUGAGAAGAGACCAUACACUCGACGGGGUGUCUUGUCAACAAUCAACAGCCUCUACGAUCCUCUAGGGUUUGUAGCGCCAGUCACAAUACAAGGCAAGGCUAUUCUGAGAGAGCUAACAACUGAGAAAGGUGACUGGGACUCGCCUUUGCCUCGAGAAAUGGAGGAAUCAUGGACAUCGUGGAGAACAUCCUUAACAGAACUGUCCCAGCUGUCUAUUCCCAGAGCCUACACUACAACUUCCCCCGCAACAGCUGUCAGAAGGGAAUUGUGCGUAUUUUCUGACGCAUCCACCAAAGCUAUUGCCGCUGUGGCAUACCUAAAAGUAACUGACUCUGCUGGAAAUAACCAUGUCGGAUUUGUAAUGGGCAAAGCCAAGCUGGCCCCCCGUCCUGAGCAAACAAUUCCGAGACUGGAACUUUGCGCAGCAGUGCUUGGAGUGGAGUUAGCAGACCUAAUCUCGACAGAAUUAGACCUUCAGCUCGAUGCUACAACCUUCCACUCAGACAGCAAGGUGGUCCUUGGCUACAUUUCUAAUGAAACUAGGCGCUUUUAUGUGUAUGUAAGUAACCGGGUAUUGCGUAUCCGAAGAUCCUCUCGCCCAGAUCAAUGGCGCUAUGUGUCAACAGAACAGAACCCCGCAGACCACGCUACACGUGCUGUCACUGCAGGCCGUUUGAAUGACACAAACUGGCUGAGCGGGCCCAAAUCUCUGUACACACCGGAGACCAGUACCUCAGAGAGCACCCAUGAACUUGUGGACCCGAGUGCAGACUCAGACAUUCGCCCUCUGGUAUCCACUAUGAGCACUACGACAACAUCCAACCAGCUCGGUUCUCAGCGAUUCGCAAGGUUCUCAUCCUGGAAGUCGCUAACUCGGGCCAUUAUUCGCCUCAUACACAUAGCUCGCCUUUUCAACAGCACCUUGAAGAACAGCCUUUGUAAAGGCUGGCAUCACUGCAAAACAGGAUUCAAUUUUGAGGAAUCUAAUCAAGCAUCGCACAUCAUCAUUCGAGCAGUACAGGAGGAAGCCUACAGUCAAGAGAUCAAAUGUGUCCAAAAACAUGAGCAGAUUCCUAAAAGUAGUCCUCUCAAAAAUCUGGAUCCUUUCAUUGAUGCACUCGGCCUUCUGAGAGUCGGAGGCCGCCUCCACAAUGCAAACCUUGUUCAGAGCGAGAAGACCCCAGUGAUCAUUCCUGGCAAGCAUCAGGUUGCAACCUUACUCAUCAAGCAUCACCACGAACAAAUCUAUCACCAAGGUCGUCUGUUUACGGAGGGGGCCGUCCGUACAGCUGGCUUUUGGAUAGUUGGUGGUAAAAGAAAGGUGAGCAACAUCAUCCACCAGUGUAUAACCUGCAGAAGGCUUAGAGCCCCACUUACAAUCCAGAAGAUGGCCAGUCUUCCAGCGGACCGUCUCUCAACAGAACCUCCCUUUACGAAUGUUGGGCUUGAUGUGUUCGGCCCUUGGAGUGUCUCUUCACGUAGAACAAGAGGAGGCCACUCACACAGUAAACGAUGGGCCGUAAUCUUCACGUGCAUGAGUGUACGAGCGGUUCAUAUUGAAGUCAUAGAAUCCCUUGACACAUCCAGCUUCGUCAACGCGCUAAGGCGCUUUCUUGCUGUGCGCGGCCCUGUCAAACACAUCCGCUCAGACCGUGGCACCAACUUUGUAGGCGCCUGCCGGGAGUUGAAAAUACCCUCAAACAUUGACAACACAACUGUGAAGACUUACCUGUUAGGUCAAGGUUGCUCGUGGACCUUUAACCCUCCGCACGCCUCCCAUUUUGGCGGUUCGUGGGAAAGAAUGAUUGGUCUUGCAAGGAGAAUCCUGGACGCCAUGUUCCUUCAGCUGAAGGACAAACUUACCCACGAGGUGCUGGUGACUUUCAUGGCAGAAGUUACAGCCAUUAUAAAUGGCAGACCUCUUGUUCCUGUGACAACCGACUCUGAGGAUCCAUUUAUACUCACUCCAGCUGCCCUUCUCACGCAAAAGGUGAAUGUCUUGACUGCCCCUACCGGAGAGUUUGGAGUUUCAGACCUCUACAAGCGCCAGUGGCGACAGGUCCAGCACCUGUCUAACACCUUCUGGGACAGAUGGCGAAAGCAAUAUCUCCCGACACUACAGGCACGUAAGAAGUGGCAUUCCGCUCAUCCAAACAUCAGCCCAGGAAGUGUUGUUAUCCUCAAGGAUAGUCAAGCACCAAGAAAUGAAUGGCCUCUUGGACUGGUAACACAGGCGUUCCCCAGCGAGGACGGGAAGGUACGAAAGGUCGAGAUUAAGGUCGCACGAACAGGAGUGACUAAACUCUUUCUUAGGCCUGUUUCUGAGAUAGUGCUUCUUUUCCCCCCAGAGCCCUAGUGGAGUGAACUGUCUAGGAUUUAUUGGGUGGCGUGUAUUCACGCCAAGCGGGGAGUGUUUUGUCACAAACGUUAAAUCAAUGCUAUGUUUUAUUUUGAAAACAGGAAAUGUGAUGUAAUUUGUCAGGUGACAGGAACCAGGAAGUCAAUGAAGAAUAUGGCUCAGAACUGCUGUUUGUAUUGGUAGCUUUUCAAUCCAGUUGAGUCUGCAUGCAUCCUAUACCUUUUUGAUAGCAUCGUUGUUUUACUCUUUCUCAUGUCAAUAAACCUGUGGACAACGGACCAUUGUCUUCAGAGUCGUGAUGUCAGAAAAGAGUUCGUCUAACUGCCAAGGUGUAUCGGAGCGCAUAUACCGAGGGCGGCAUAAGCAGGGCUUCAUGCUUAGCUCAGCUGGCAGGAAGGGAUCAUAUUACUUUGUUACUAUAUUAACUUCUCUGCACUGGCUCCCUGUUAAAUCAAGAAUAGAUUUUAAGGUACUUCUCCUCACCUACAAGGCACUUGCUGGUGUGGCACCGUCUUAUCUUAAAGAGCUUGUAACACCUUAUUGCCCUACAAGGCAGCUGCGCUCCAUAGAUGCUGGGUUACUUGUUGUUCCUAUGGUUUUAAAAAGUAGGCUGGGGGCCAGAGCCUUCAGUUAUCAAGCUCCUCUUUUGUGGAACCAGGUUCCACUUUCAGUCCGGGGGGCAGAUUCGGUCAGCUCUUUUAAAGUAAAACUUAAAACUUUCCUCUUUGAUUCUGCCUAUAGUUAGGGCUGGCUCAGGUUAGCCCGGACCAGCCCUUAGUUAAGCUGCUAUAGGCUUAGACUGCCGGGGGACUUCUAAGGACACACCGAGCUCCUCUCUCACGCUCUCGUUCUACCAUAAUUCACGUUUUAUUAAUGCACAUGACUAAUUCAGCAUCUUUCUGGGAGUUUUUUGUGCUUUCUCCCCUAGCAGGUCUCCGUAGAUCGUGGUUCCUUCUGGACCCUGGUCCUGACACCUGCCGUGGCCCUGCUGACACCUGUUGCUGCCAUCAUCGUCAUUAUGACUUUAAAUUUUAAUCAUAUUACUGUCAUCAUAAACCAACAUUACCCUCUCCUAAAGUCUUUGUGCUCUCCCUCCCCACAGGCUUCUGUGGAUGGUGGUUCUAUCUGAUGAUGGUUGCCCGUGCAGUGGUCCUGCUGUGCGCCUGGCUUACUCACAAUUAUUAGAAUCAUUUCUGUCAUAUGAAUUGUUCAUUCUGUACACAUGGCAUCCAUUGUAGUCUGUCCAUCACGGGAGUGGGAUCCCUGCUCUGAUGACUUUUUCCCUCUUGGAAGGGUUUUUUCAUUUAUUGGGGAGUUUUUCCUGUGCUAAUGUGUGGGUUUCGGGACAGAGGAUGUCGUAUGUGUACAUACUGUAAAGCCCUCUGGGGUAAAUUUCUAAUUUGCGACUUUGGGCUAUACAAAAUAAAAUGAAUUGAAUUGAAUUGAACAUAUUGUUGCUGUAUUUAUAUCUUUCUGCGGAACGACACAUAGGAUGAAUGUUGUGGUUUUUCAUGCGGCAAGAGACAUAUGCAACUUUUAUUGUGAGCUACACAGUAUGUUAACGAGACUGUCCAC
ensembl:lncRNA